rnacentral:rRNA from 1 species
AGGAUGAACGCUGGCGGCGUGCCUAACACAUGCAAGUCGAACGUCCUGUCUCGCAAGAGGCAGGGAGUGGCGGACGGGUGAGUACCACGUGGGUCAUCUACCGUGAGGUGAGGAAUACCGGCGAGAAAUCGCCGACAAGACCGCAUAGGCUCGAUGCAAGUCGAGCAAAGCUCUUUCGAGAGAGGGAGCGCCACACGAGGAGCCUGCGCCCGAUUAGCUAGCUGGUGGAGUAACGGUUCACCAGGGCGACGAUCGGUAGCUGGUCUGAGAGGACGAUCAGCCACACUGGGAUUGAGAACGGCCCAGACUCCUACGGGGGCAGCAGUGAGGAAUUUUCGUCAAUGGGGGCAACCCUGAACGAGCAACGCCGCGUGCAGGAAGAAGGUUUCGGAUCGUAAACUGCUUUUCUCGGGAAGAGAACGGACGGUACCCGAGGAAUCGAGCCCCGGCUAACUACGUGCCAGCAGCCGU